GGGCGUGUGGUCUAGUGGUAUGAUUCUCGCUUUGGGUUUAUCUCUGUUGAGGAGAACGACUAAGCAUGCGAGAGGCCCUGGGUUCAAUUCCCAGCUCGCCCC
rfam:Saccharomyces kudriavzevii IFO 1802 unplaced genomic scaffold c1789, whole genome shotgun sequence.